GUCCUCGCUUCGGCAGCACAUAUACUAAAAUUGGCACAACACAGAGAAAAUCAGUAUGGCCCCUGUGUAAGGAUGACAUGCAAAUUUGUGAAGUGUUCCAUAUUUUU